rnacentral:rRNA from 1 species
UACGUAGGAUCCGAGCGUUAUCCGGAUUUAUUGGGUUUAAAGGGUGCGUAGGUGGAUUGGUAAGUCAGUGGUGAAAGUUUGCAGCUUAACUGUAAAAUUGCCGUUGAAACUGCCGGUCUUGAGUGCAAAUGAGGUAGGCGGAAUGCGUCGUGUAGCGGUGAAAUGCAUAGAUAUGACGCAGAACUCCGAUUGCGAAGGCAGCUUACUGGGAUGCAACUGACGCUUAGGCACGAAAGCGUGGGUAUCAAACAGGAUUAGAUA